rnacentral:rRNA from 1 species
GACAGAGGGUGCAAGCGUUGUCCGGAUUUAUUGGGCGUAAAACGUCUGUAGGCGGUUUAUUAAGUCUGAAGUGAAAUAGUUGAGCUUAACUCAAUCCCUGCUUUAGAUACUGAUGAACUAGAGUGCGUUAGGGGUUAUUGGAAUUCCCGGUGUAGUGGUGAAAUGCGUAGAUAUCGGGAGGAACUCCAGUGGCGAAAGCGAAUAACUGGGGCGUAACUGACGCUGAGAGACGAAAGCGUGGGGAGCAAACAGG